CCCGGCCCGGCAGUUACACGUGAGCAACGACGAGUUCUCGAAACCUGGGCGGGGGAAGAGGAGACGGUAGACAGGCCCGCAAAGGCACCAGCCCAGCACUGGGGACUUGAAAGCCCAGUUCCAAGGGUCCCCCAAGCCCCCAGAGGAGUCCCCGAGUGCAGGUGCACCUGGGAAUCGGACUUGGAUGACGGACAACUUUACAAGCUGAGUGCACACCAGAAACGAAGAGUACCCCGUUUAUUCCUCAAGACACCCCUGCAAAGAUGCGACCACCUCCUCUAUUUGGCUCACCCCAUCCCUUGUUACUGCUGAGCUUGUGUUAGAGACCUAGGAUGCGGAGGGGAGACCACCUGCCCGCACAUUUGGCGGGCCAGCCAGUGCACGCUGCUGCAGACACACCUGGAGCAUCUAGCUGCGACACAAGGCACACACCUGCCGGUCUGCCAGUCGGCUCACCUGACGGGUGGUCUAGAGCUCCGCCUCGUCUUGUCUUCUCUCAACCCUUAAUUUUAUUACUUAAAAAACUUCUUGUAGGGGCGCCUGGCUGGCUCACUGGUUGAGCGUCUGCCUCUGGCUCAGGUCUUGAUCCUGAGGUCCUGUAAUCAAGUCCCGUGUCGGGCUCCCUGCAG